rnacentral:rRNA from 1 species
UGCCAGCAGCCGCGGUAAUACGAAUGGGGCAAGCGUUGUUCGGAAUCACUGGGCUUAAAGCGUGCGCAGGCGGACUAUCAAGUCAGGAGUGAAAUCCCAGGGCUCAACCCUGGAACUGCUUCUGAAACUGAUAGUCUAGAAUCCGGGAGAGGUCAGGAGAAUUCCCAGUGUAGAGGUGAAAUUCGCAGAGAUUGGGAGGAAUAUCAGUGGCGUAGGCGCCUGACUGGACCGGUAUUGACGCUCAGGCACGAAAGCGUGGGGAGCAAACAGGAUUAGAUA